CUUAAAUAUUAAAAAUGAAUGCAAAAUGUGGAUCUGAGCGACCAACAAGAAAAAGAAAACAAUGAAAAAAUUCUCCUGCCAUAGUUGUAAAAGUGAGUGAAGAAAUUUGGUAAAAUGUGAAUCUAAAUCUUCCACUAAUGAAAGAGAAACAUCUAAGAAUUAAGGUGCAAAGAACAUUUCAGAAAUUGCAGCUGAACAUUUUAAAGCUUCAAAACAUAAAAACAGUAUUUGUUGAUUGGAAAAUAACCUUUUAAAGUUUUUGAUAUAUCAGUUUGCAGAAAUGAACUUUCUCUUUUAAAUUGUGGUGACAGAAAUUGUCGAUGCAGAUUGAUGGGGUUGUUCUAACAAGCACUAUGUAUGUCUCUGUGAAGGAAGCAAACAGGGUCAACGCCAAGUCAAGACAUACUCAAUAACAGGUUUUACAAGAUUAUAUAAAACAACUUAACUAAAACCAAUAAUUAGUUAGCAAAACAUAGAUUGUCUAUUAUUUUUUAAAACUCAUUAACGGUGUGACUGAAGUAAGUUUGUUACAUAAUUUCAACAAUUGAUUUGUUAAAAAAUUAUCACGAAGAUUAUUUUUGAAAUAGGUUUCAGUAAUAGUGUAAUGAUCUGGUCUUCUUAAAUAGCUAUUUUAUAAUUAUUUUUUUAGGAGGAACUUGCCGUUUAAUUUUUUUUGUAACUUUUCUGAUAUUGAUCAACGCCAUUUCAAUGUUUUAUAUUUUAAUUUUGGCUAAAGCAACGAGUAUCAUACAUUAAUUUUUU